AGUUCCAAGUGAAACCAACUGUGGAAAUAAGCUUCAGUGAUGAGCUGUCCCAGGACAUGAUGAACUUAUGCUGGAGGUACAGUUUGCUGAGGUUUGUUGGUGGAGUUCCUUUCUAAGAAUUGCCCUUGACUGAAGGAGGCUGCCUCACCAAGGUUAAAUCCCCUCACUUGGACAGCCUAUGGAUAGGCUGGAUCCUGACUGGAUUGCUCAGUCUAAGGGAGAGUGAAAAUUGGUGUGAACAUUUAAGAAGAAGUUGUGGAGUACCUAACAAAUAUGGAGUUAAACAAAGCAAAUUUAUCAGGCAGAUGAAAGGUUUGAGAGCUCAGUGACUUUUGAACUGGUGUCUGGGUUGUGCCGGGACACAAAACCAGACCUGCUUAUGGUAGAAAAGAUAUGUGAACUGAAUCCAUCAAGGAUCUGGGCAAGAGCUUCCGGGGGAACACUAAAGAUUUAAAUAAGGGAAUACAAGCCACAGAGAAGUGGUUCUCAAAGUUGAGCAUGCUUCAGAAUCUCCUGGAGGGCUUGUUGAAACUAUGCUGGGCCCCACCCCCAGAAUUUCUGAUUCAGCUUUAAAGCAGAAGCUUUAAGAUCCAAUGUAUGGUCCCACUGUUGCUCCUUUUCUUCUGGUAUGACACCAGUAAUGUCUCAGAUAGCAUCAAUUUCUUCACCCUGGGUCCCAGACAGAAGAACCAAGCUGA